CCCUAAUAUUACCCUUCUGCGCCGCAUCAUACUCUUCAUCUUAUAAAUUUCAUCUCCCACUUCAACUUUUUCAUUUCUCAUUCUUUACCUUCUCUGCACUGUAUAGUUUCAAACAUUGCUUUAAUUUUGAUAAUUAUUUUCAUGAAUAUAAUGUCAGUAUUGAUUAUGCCCUUUUGAGUAGUACUAUGAAACUUUAUCAAUUUCAUACAUGACUUAGUUAGGGGGCAAAUAUUAAUAGAAAUCUAAUGUUUAUUAGAUUUCUCUCAAAGAUAGGUUGUUUAUUGAAGGAACAAUCUGUUCUGUUGUAUUAGUUGUUCUUCAAACACCCUUUCACAUUUGAAAUUUUUUUAAAUUUAGGUUAUUAUCUUUACAUAUCUCUGUUGUAAUCUGCUGCUGAAAGGCAUAAAUUUCACUUUAUAUAAAUCAAUUGUGAAAUGUGUGUCAUCCACUUUGUUUGUUAUUUCACAGAUUACAAUCUAUAUCAGAUUUAAUUUUUUUUUUCUUGUUGUAACAUAUGCCUUCGAAUAAUUAAACAGCUAUACAGUAGUAUAGAUGUUGUUUAGUUCAGACAGAGGCAAAUAUCAAAUAUUAAAUAUCU
rnacentral:lncRNA from 1 species